GUGCUCACUUUGCAGCACAUAUAGUAAAAUUGGAACAACACAGAGAAGUUUAGUAUGGCCCUUGCACAAGGAUGACAGACAAAUUCAUGAAGCAUUCCAUAUUUUU
ensembl:snRNA U6 U6 spliceosomal RNA